rnacentral:rRNA from 1 species
UGGGGAAUAUUGCACAAUGGGCGCAAGCCUGAUGCAGCCAUGCCGCGUGUGUGAAGAAGGCCUUCGGGUUGUAAAGCACUUUCAGCGGGGAGGAAGGCGUUAAGGUUAAUAACCUUGGCGAUUGACGUUACCCGCAGAAGAAGCACCGGCUAACUCCGUGCCAGCAGCCGCGGUAAUACGGAGGGUGCAAGCGUUAAUCGGAAUUACUGGGCGUAAAGCGCACGCAGGCGGUCUGUCAAGUCGGAUGUGAAAUCCCCGGGCUCAACCUGGGAAAUGCAUUCGAAACUGGCAGGCUAGAGUCUUGUAGAGGGGGGUAGAAUGCCAGGUGUAGCGGUGAAAUGCGUAGAGAUCUGGAGGAAUACCGGUGGCGAAGGCGGCCCCCUGGACAAAGACUGACGCUCAGGUGCGAAAGCGUGGGGAGCAAACAGG